CAAUAGCGUAUAUUAAAGUUGUUGCAGUUAAAAGCUCGUAGUUGGAUUUCUGGGAGGGUGCCAAUGUCCGUCGUCGUACGUGUUGCAGCGGCGCCCUUCCAUCCUUCUGUUAACGACUUUGGGCAUUCACUUGCCGGAGUCGGGCUCAGAUAUUUUACCUUGAGAAAAUUAGAGUGUUUCAGGCAGGCUAGGGCGGAAUACAUUAGCAUGGAAUAAUGGAAUAGGACUACGGUCUCUUUGUUGGUUUGAGGGACUAUGGUAAUGAUUAAUAGGGAUAGUUGGGGCAGGUUAGUAUUUAAUUGUCAGAGGUGGAAUUCUCAGAUUUGUUAAAGACUAACUUAUGCGAAAGCAUUUGCCAAGGAUGUUUUCAUUAAUCAAGAACGAAAGUUAGGGAGUCGAA
rnacentral:rRNA from 1 species